AUUGUCUAUGUCAAAACUGAAGAAGAAAAGAAGCAUAUAAUUCCACGAUGGAUUAGUGAUAUUGAGUUUUUGAAAAAGAAAAGAAAACAUAACACUGAAAUAGGUUAAACUGGUUUUUAUGCACAUAAAUUUGAGCAAGAACACUACAAUCAGACAUUGAGACAUGUGACGACCAUGCAUAUCUAGUGAUAGUAUAAGAAGCAUAAUGAAAUUGCAACUUGCCUUAAUAUGUAGUGACUAAUGUUAAAAUUUAAUAGUGUGAAAUUAAUAGUAUGGUUGUAUUGCAUUAUAAGUCUAUGCUCUGUAACAAUUUACCUACUUGAUAAGAAAAAUAAAUGCAUGAUGGAAGUAAAACAACAAAUGGCCUCCCAGUGGAAAUACAAAAAACAGUGAGUGAAGCAGAAUUUGUACAAAUAGAGAUAUGAAUAGUGAAGCAAACACAGGUCAGGUCUAUCAAGUAUCAAAUUGAUAUAUGUAUGCGCAGUUGCUAAUUUUCAAAAGAGUAUAGGGAAGCAAUACGAAAAAGGUAAAACCCACACAAAUACAUACCUUGGUGAAAAUGAAAAAAACAAUGGUAUGUUUUAGGAACUGAACAUACCAUCACUGAUUGUGUCAUAAAGUACAAUUGUAGUAAAACUUAGCAAAUUGCA
rnacentral:lncRNA from 1 species